AUUGAACGCUGGCGGCAGGCCUAACACAUGCAAGUCGAACGAGUGGCGGACGGGUGAGUAAUGUCUGGGAAACUGCCUGAUGGAGGGGGAUAACUACUGGUAACUGUAGCUAAUACCGCAUACCAUCAGAUGUGCCCAGAUGGGAUUAGCUAGUUGGUGGGGUAACGGCUCACCAAGGCGACGAUCACUCGCUGAUCUGAGAGGAUGACCAGCCACACUGGACCUGAGACACGGUCCAGUCUCCUACGGGAGGCGGCAGUGGGGAAUAGUGCACAAGGGGCGCAAGCCUGAUGCAGACAUGCCGCGUGUAUGAAGAAGGCCUUCGGGUUGUAAAGUACUUUCGGCGGGGAGGCGUUACCCGCAGAAGAAGCACCGGCUAACUCCGUGCCAGCAGCCGCGGUAAUUC
rnacentral:rRNA from 1 species